rnacentral:rRNA from 1 species
GAAAGGAUGUAGGCAUGUAUCUUAGGCAAAUCCGGGGUACUCUAUGCUGAGAUCUGAUAGCAAGCUGUACUUGUACAGCGAAGUGGUUGAUGCCAUGCUUCCAGGAAAAGUCUCUAAGCUUCAGUUACACAGGAAUCGUACCCGAAACCGACACAGGUGGUCAGGUCGAGUAGACCAAGGCGCUUGAGAGAACUCUGCUGAAGGAACUAGGCAAAAUGGUACCGUAACUUCGGGAGAAGGUACGCUGUUGUUGGUGAUGGAACUCGCUUCCUGAGCUGACGACAGCCGCAGAAACCAGGCCGCUGCAACUGUUUAUUAAAAACAUAGCACUCUGCAAACACGAAAGUGGACGUAUAGGGUGUGAUGCCUGCCCGGUGCUGGAAGGUUAAUUGAUGGGGUUAGCGUAAGCGAAGCUCUUGAUCGAAGCCCCAGUAAACGGCGGCCGUAACUAUAACGGUCCUAAGGUAGCGAAAUUCCUUGUCGGGUAAGUUCCGACCUGCACGAAUGGCAUAAUGAUGGCGGCGCUGUCUCCAGCAGAGGCUCAGUGAAAUCGAAAUCGCUGUGAAGAUGCAGUGUACCCGCGGCUAGACGGAAAGACCCCGUGAACCUUUACUGCAGCUUGACACUGAACUUUGACCUUACUUGUGUAGGAUAGGUGGGAGGCUUUGAAGCUGGAACGCUAGUUCCAGUGGAGCCGUCCUUGAAAUACCACCCUGGUAAUGUUGAGGUUCUAACUCUGUCCCGUGAUCCGGGACGAGGACCGUGUCUGGUGGGUAGUUUGACUGGGGCGGUCUCCUCCUAAAGAGUAACGGAGGAGUACGAAGGUGCGCUCAGCGUGGUCGGAAAUCACGCGUAGAGUAUAAAGGCAAAAGCGCGCUUAACUGCGAGACCCACAAGUCGAGCAGGUACGAAAGUAGGUCUUAGUGAUCCGGUGGUUCUGUAUGGAAGGGCCAUCGCUCAACGGAUAAAAGGUACUCUGGGGAUAACAGGCUGAUACCGCCCAAGAGUUCAUAUCGACGGCGGUGUUUGGCACCUCGAUGUCGGCUCAUCUCAUCCUGGGGCUGAAGCAGGUCCCAAGGGUAUGGCUGUUCGCCAUUUAAAGAGGUACGCGAGCUGGGUUUAGAACGUCGUGAGACAGUUCGGUCCCUAUCUACCGUGGGCGCUGGAAAUUUGAGAGGAUCUGCUCCUAGUACGAGAGGACCAGAGUGGACGAACCUCUGGUGUACCGGUUGUGACGCCAGUCGCAUCGCCGGGUAGCUAUGUUCGGAAGGGAUAACCGCUGAAAGCAUCUAAGCGGGAAGCCUACCUCAAGAUAAGAUUUCCCUAGGACUUUAUGUCCUCUAAAGAGCCGUUCGAGACUAGGACGUUGAUAGGUUGGAUGUGGAAGCAUAGUGAUAUGUGAAGCUGACCAAUACUAAUUGCUCGUGAGGCUUGACUA